rnacentral:miRNA from 1 species
UUGGGUCGGCCAAAAAGUUUGUUUGGCUUUUUCAUAACAUCAUGUGGGAAAACCAAACCAACUUUUUGGCCAACCCAA